rnacentral:rRNA from 1 species
AGAGUUUGAUCCUGGCUCAGAUUGAACGCUGGCGGCAUGCCUUACACAUGCAAGUCGAACGGUAACAGGGAGCUUGCUCCGCUGACGAGUGGCGAACGGGUGAGUAAUAUAUCGGAACGUGCCUGGUAAUGGGGGACAACUAGUCGAAAGAUUAGCUAAUACCGCAUACGCCCUACGGGGGAAAGAGGGGGAUUCGCAAGAACCUCUCGUUAUCAGAGCGGCCGAUAUCUGAUUAGCUAGUUGGUGAGGUAAAGGCUCACCAAGGCUUCGAUCAGUAGCUGGUCUGAGAGGACGACCAGCCACACUGGGACUGAGACACGGCCCAGACUCCUACGGGAGGCAGCAGUGGGGAAUUUUGGACAAUGGGCGCAAGCCUGAUCCAGCAAUGCCGCGUGAGUGAAGAAGGCCUUCGGGUUGUAAAGCUCUUUUGUCAGGGAAGAAACGGUCUUUGGUUAAUACCUGGGGCUAAUGACGGUACCUGAAGAAUAAGCACCGGGCUAACUACGUGC